rnacentral:rRNA from 1 species
UACGUAGGGGGCAAGCGUUGUCCGGAAUCAUUGGGCGUAAAGAGCGCGUAGGCGGCCCGAUAAGUCCGCUGUAAAAGUCCAGGGCUCAACCCUGGAAAGCCGGUGGAUACUGUCGGGCUAGAGUCCGGAAGAGGCGAGUGGAAUUCCUGGUGUAGCGGUGGAAUGCGCAGAUAUCAGGAGGAACACCAAUGGCGAAGGCAGGUCUCUGGGCAUUAACUGACGCUGAGGAGCGAAAGCAUGGGGAGCGAACAGG